UCAGGCCUAACACAUGCAAGUCGAGCGGUAGCAGGAAGUGCUUGCACUUCGCUGACGAGCGGCGGACGGGUGCGUAACACGUAGGAAUCUGCCUGGUAGUGGGGGAUAGCCCGGAGAAAUCCGGAUUAAUACCGCAUACGCCUUACGAGGGAAAGCAGGGGAUCUUCGGACCUUGCGCUAUCAGAUGAGCCUGCGUCGGAUUAGCUGGUUGGUGGGGUAAAGGCCUACCAAGGCGACGAUCCGUAGCUGGUCUGAGAGGAUGAUCAGCCACACUGGGACUGAGACACGGCCCAGACUCCUACGGGAGGCAGCAGUGGGGAAUAUUGCACAAUGGGCGAAAGCCUGAUGCAGCCAUGCCGCGUGUGUGAAGAAGGCCCUAGGGUUGUAAAGCACUUUCAGUGGGGAGGAAAGGUUGAAGGUUAAUACCCUUCAGCUGUGACGUUACCCACAGAAGAAGCACCGGCUAACUCCGUGCCAGCAGCCGCGGUAAUACGGAGGGUGCGAGCGUUAAUCGGAAUUACUGGGCGUAAAGCGUGCGUAGGCGGCUACCUAAGUUGGAUGUGAAAGCCCCGGGCUCAACCUGGGAACUGCAUCCAAAACUGGGUGGCUGGAGUACGGGAGAGGAGUGUGGAAUUUCCUGUGUAGCGGUG
rnacentral:rRNA from 1 species